UGUUGAUUUGUGUGUGCAUGUGUAUAUGUGUACACACACACACACACGCACAUACACACACACAUACACACACACACACACAC
rnacentral:miRNA from 1 species